ncrna:unclassified sequences Actino-pnp RNA
AAUGGUCCUCGGUAGUGGUUUCCAGAUGCAAGCACUAGAUGUUUGGCAUCUGUGAACUUCGAUCGAAGAUUCAU